rnacentral:lncRNA from 1 species
GGAGCUGCAGCUGCUGUCCUACACUGUAGCUGCAGCAAUGCCAGAUCCAAGCCGUGUCUGCCACCUACACCACAGCUUGCGGCAACACCAGAUCCUUAAUCCACAGAGCAAGGUCAGGAAUCAAACCUGCAUCUUCAUGGACACUAUGUGAGGUUCUUAACUUGCUGAGCCACAACAGGAACUCCAAAUUUAUUUUAGUUGCACUAUAGUUGAUUUACAAUGCUCUGUUAGUUUCUGGUGUCCAGCAAAGUGAUUCAGGUAUAUAUACACACACAUAUAUUCUUUCUCACAUUUUUUUCCCUUCUAGAUUAUUACAAGCUCUUACGUAUUGCUCCCUGUACUCUUGUUUCCUAGUAGCUCUUAGGACGCAAGUGUUAUCCCGAAGGCCAUACUAGCCAGGCUCGUGAACAUUUUGCUUCGACAUGAAUGUGUUAGGGCUGCUUUAGUGAACUGGAUAGACAUAAAAAACCAAAAAUGCAUCCUUGUAAAGUGGAGAAAUUAAGCUGUGCAAAAUAAGGAUGCUUCAUUUUACAAACAAAAAAACGAAAACAAAAACCUGACCAACAAGUUACUUAAAAUAGUAGAUUCCGCCCCUCCCUUUUCUUUUCUUUUUCAGCUGCACCCAGGCUAGGGGUUGAAUCCAAGCCACAGCUGCGGCAAUGCCAGAUCCUCAACCCACUGUGCCACAGCUGGAACUCCCAUUUUAACGUGAAAUGUCACACUCUCUGCACCCAGUCUCUGCAGGGGUAACUUCUCAGGGAGGAAGGUUUGCACCUUCAGUCCCUAGGGAAGGAUGCGACUUUGCAUCUGGGCACCUGCUGGUUUCUACUCCUGUGGGCUGGAGCCUUAGCCAUGGUCCAGAAUCAACCCCUAGAGAAUUUCACUGUUCCCUGCUAGCAUUCCCAUAGAUGAAAAACUUCCUUUUAAACUCAGCUUCCAAGACAGACACCAGGAUUUGUAACUCUUGCCCAAGCCGAAAAUUAGUGUCCUUCCUGUGACAGAGCCUGUGUUUGUCUGAUGAUCAGCCUGUUUUCAAGUCCAGGCUCCUCCACAUGUUCCGUGGCUCCGUUCUUUGAAUAGAUUGAUGAGUGGCGAAUCCCUGUUUAAAUCUGCCAUGGAAUUCCUCCCUUGCUGCAGAGGGCGGGUCUACACCGCCAGCAUCCUCUCCUUCCAUCAAGAUGCAAGGUGUGGGAGUUCAUGUUGUGGCUCAGCAAUAAUGAACCUGACUAGUAUCCAUGAGGAGGCGAGUUUGAUCCCUGGCCUUGCUUAGUGGGUUAAGGAUCCGGCGUUGCUGCAAGCAGGUCAUAGACGUGGCUCAGAUCUGGUGUGGCUGUGGCUGUGGCAUAGGCCAGUGGCUACAGCUCUGAUUUGACCCCUAGCCCGGCAACUUCCACAUGCCAUGGGUGUGGCCCUAAAAAGACACACACACACACAAAUGCAGGGUGUGUUGGGGGGGGCCUCUGGUUCUUUGAUUGCUGUGGCUUUUUUUUUUUUUUUUUAAACUAAGCUCAUCUGCCUUCUUUAGGCGUCAAGCAUGUUGCCUAGGCCGUGUCCAUGGUCAGUGGUGUUUUUAUUUUAUUAUAAUGUAAUGAUUGUAGGCAGUUGUGGGUAAAUGGCUUAGCUAAGUGCUUUUGAAUCCCAUACCCAGUCUCUGAUUAUACUUGUGUCCCAUCUUGAUGAAAUUCAAAUAAACAGCUCUCUGGCAUGAAAGGCCCUCUAUUAGAUUUAUUUCUAAAUUCUUUUAAGUGUGUCAGCAGGUAGCCCCCAGGAUGUCACAGGAAGGCACAGGCCGUCAACCUCCGUGGUGGCGGUGAAUUAGUCUGAAUCUAUUGGAAAUGAAAAGUUCAGACAGCACAGAUGGAAGAGAUUGAACUAGUGGCUCAGAAUGAAUAGAAAGGGCAGGUGUGUCUGGCGCUUUACGGGCAGAGAGAGGCCCAUGCGUUGACAGUGUCAUAAUGUACAGCUCUUCAGAGAUGCUGGGGGCCCCUUGUUCCAAAAGGCGAGUCUGUUUCCUGUCAUUUCAUGGGGCAGGGAGAUUGCUGGCAGGUCUCCAGCAAGGAUGCAGUUUCCCUGGUUGGCAUUGAACUUGACAUCCCCACCUGAUUUGGGUGCUUGAAAGGUAGGGAGGACUAUGUCUGCAGUUUGUGGCUUUCCGAGUCAGUCUUUUGAAAGGAGUUCCCGUUGUGGUACAACGGGACCUAAGGUGUUUCUGGACUCCUGGGUUGCAGGUUCGAUCCCCGGCCAGCACAGUGGGUUAAAGAUUGGGUGUUGCCUCAGCUGCGGCAUAGGUUGAAACUACUGCUCAGAUCUGGGAACUCCCUAUGCCACAGGGUGGCCAAAAAAGAAGAAGGCAAAAAGAGCAGCUCUGCUAGGCAGAGCAUUCCUAAGCUUCUCCCACUGGAAGAGUCAAAGGCUUGUCAGAGUGUAAUGAUUUCAACAUUUGAGGUUGUAAACAUUUUUGCAAGUUUAAAACAUAAUGUAACAAAGUAAGCCAAAUACUGUUUAAUUUGUUGGAGUCAGUAACUUGGUGCAGCUGGAGUGAAGACGGAUUGUGAGAAACUGAUAACCACACACACAUUCAGUGGAAAAAGUAAAAGCAUGCUGGAAUAGAAUUACAAAGUUGGCCGACCUGUGGGCAGUAAAACAGUAACCCCUGAGGUUUUCUUUUCCACGAGGCAGAGAUAAUUUGCAUCUCUCCUGGACAGAAGUUGUUUGCAGCUUAUUAAUCCUCUACCAGUUAAAUCUCCAGUUACAGAGUCUGGGCCUAAUCAAUACUAAAUAGUAAGUCCAACAGAGUCCCCUUUCCCUAGAGGAACCCGUGACAUUUCGGUGGGGUUGUUGCAUGUUCUCAUGUAACUUUGAAAGGGCAUGCGCUGAGCUUGUUGCCUUGUUUCUGAACCGUGCAUGCAGGAUUUGUCUUAACAGAUUGCCUUCUUCAAAGGCAGACAGGGUGAUGGGUGAUGGAAAUGGGGUGGGUGGGGGGCAGAUCGGGUGGGGCAGCCACUUCCCAAGGCCAAGGGCUUGUUCCCAAGUGCAUUGUGAAUGCUUUGUGGCUGGAAAUUCCAACCUGUCCAUGGGAAACUGUCAAUCCUAGUGUUUAUGGGAAAUAUCCCAAUUAAAAAAUGCCAGGGAGUUCCUACUGUGGCUCAGUGGGUUAAGAAUCUGACUACAGACCUGGGGUUUGAUCCCUGGCUUGGCACAGUGGGUUAAGGGAUUCAGCAUUGCUGCAGUUGCGGUGUAGGUUGCUGCAGUUGCGGCUCGGAUUCAGUUCCUGGCCUGGGAACUUGCAUAUGCUGUUGGUACGGCCAAAAAAAAAAAAAAAAAAAA